rnacentral:lncRNA from 1 species
GUGUUCUUUUUGCUCACAAUGUAUGUCAGCAGCAGUUCUCUGGAACUGUUCCAGCCACUGAAGUCAACUAUGGUUUUGUUUCAUUAUGCUUGGCACUACCCCAUGAAUUUUCUUUAUUCAAAGAUUCAGACUAAAGCAGAAACCGCUUUAAAACAUGCUGUUCUUUUUAGAAGAGUACCAUCCAAAACAUAAAAUGACUCGAAGUUUCCACUUAGAAUAUGCAUGCAUCACUUCUGCUCAAAUCCCAUUGGGACAAAUGCACGUACUGGAGCUUAAUAAGCUGUCUGCAACCAGACAGAAAAACAAUGUUUUACUUGCCAAAAAAACUGCUAGGUUUAGAGGAAAAAGAUCCACUAAUAUCAACAAUAUUAAUCAAAUGUAAGUUAUCUGUGAUGAGUUUUCAUUGAAGAUACUUUCCCCUUCUGUUUUGAAACAUAUAUAUCCUCUUAUGAAAGAAAAAU